GGGGGGGGGGGGGGGGGGGGGGGGGGGGGGGGGGGGGGGGGGGGGGGGGGGGGGGGGGGCCCCGAGGCCGAGGUCAACCUGUUCCUGCUGCCCAACCUGGAGGAGGAGGCCGAGGACGCGCUGCCCCGCGCAGGUUCCACUACGCCGCCCGGAUCUGGGACGGGGUGAAGAAAUCCUCGGCGCUGGCCGAGUACGGCCGCUUACUGGGCUGAACUGGGAGCACUGGGAGGGUGUCACUGGGCCCCCCCCCCCCCCCCCUGGGCCAAUAAAACGCCUGAAAAACCCCCGAAACCGCAGCGUUCUGCUCUUAAUUAGCGAGUAGCGUUAAUUAAUUAUCGCCUAAAGUAUAAUUAGUG
rnacentral:lncRNA from 12 species